UAUAGAAUGUGUAUGAUGAAACACGUGAAGUCAACAUUCCAGUAUCAGGGUCUACCGACUUCACUUGAACGCAUCACGAGGUUACCUGAACCUGAAGGUGUCUCCUCCUCCUCUCCAAGCCGCACCCCUUCACUCUCAGGCGGAUUCAUCCAGGAAGAAACCCCGGAGGAACCACCGGCUUCUGUCCGAUUUACAGAGCAUUUUGGGGGUUUACACACCGUCGCUUCCGCUGGUUUUGUCGCAGCUAAAGUCAACAUGCUCAUCAAAGAGUUCCGAAUUGUCCUGCCUGUUUCCGUGGAGGAGUACCAGGUGGGUCAGCUGUACGCAGUAGCAGAGGCCAGUAAGAAUGAGACUGGAGGGGGAGAAGGAGUCGAGGUUAUAGCCAACAAGCCGUAUGAGAAGGAUGGGGAGAAGGGACAGUACACCCACAAGAUCUACCACCUGAACAGUAAAGCGAAAGUGCCGGAUCUCAUCAGGAAGCUCGCUCCCAAAGGCUCUCUGGGGGUUCACGAGAAGGCGUGGAACGCAUAUCCUUACUGUAAAACAGUCCUAUCUAACGAAUACAUGAAAGACAAUUUCAGCAUCACCAUCGAGACGUGGCACAAGCCUGAUAUGGGAGACCAGGAAAAUGUUCACGGCCUGGAGAAAAGCAAAUGGGAUGAAGUGCAGAUAGUCGACAUCGACAUCGCUGACAAAAAUAGCAUCCAUCCAAAGGAUUACAACCCAGAACACGAUCCGGCCAUCUUCAACUCGGUGAAAACGGGCCGAGGGCCUCUGGGACCGGAGUGGAAGAAAGAGCUGGCUGAUAACCCCGACUGUCCUCACAUGUGCGCCUACAAGCUGGUCUCUGUGGAGUUCAAGUGGAUCGGCCUGCAGACGGCUAUGGAGAGAACCAUCCACAAGAUAGAGAAGCGUGUUUUCACACACUUCCACAGACAGCUGUUCUGCUGGAUCGAUAAAUGGAUCGAUCUGUCGAUAGACGACAUCCGACGCAUUGAGGACGAGACGAAGGCACAGCUGGAUGAGAUGAGGGAGAAUGAUGAAGUGAAAGGCCUGGGAAUUGAUGAGAACUGACCUGAAUCCCUCUCUUCCUCGGACUCUGCAGCGGCUUCAUGGGAAUAAACAAGAACACCUCCAAACUAAUAAAACCUGCUCUUAAUAAGAGCUUAUAUUAUGGAGCAGCAGCAGUUGUGUGUAUUUAUCGAAUAUAUUUGAGUACAGCAGCGUUUUUAAGGGAGUGUUUUACGUGUUACGGGAUUAUUUCUGAGGAUGAAACGUUCUUGUUUACGCCCAUUUAUCUAUUUUAACAUAUUAAGAAAGGUGUGGGAUGUCUCUCGUCUGAUUGCUGUUAUCUUUCUUUUUUUUAAUUGCUGUUCUUUUGGGUUUUUCUUGAAUUUUUUUUAUGCAUAAUUUCUCAGUGAUUUAUUUUUAUUUAUUCUUAAAUCUCCUGCAAAAGCUCCAGUUACUAGGAUAUUGUUUCUGAAAUAAUUCACUCAAAUAAUGCAUUUUUCAGGACAAUCUGAAAUGUUCAUUUGAUUCAUUAUUACAUGGUGGAUGGAGGCAUUGCAAUAUGAAUAAAGCUCAUGAUUUAUGUAGAAACUCAUGCAUAUGACGUGUUUACUUUGAAAAGAAACAUUACAUAUACUUUCACAGUAGUCUGGUUAUCCUCUUCCGGUUUAACUCUUUACAAAAACACCAGCUACUGUUCUGUAACUACGGUUUUGGGUUGACUUUGUGAGUGUUUGUGAUAAAGUGCAAAACAAUUAAUCUCUAAACUAAGAAGAUGGACAGUUUGAGAGUUUGACCUCUGUACGUCUUGUCCUGUGUCGAAUGAAAUAACUUGGAUUUGUAUGACUUGAGUUAUAUGAUUGUGUAGUUUAUUAAAGACAAUGUAUUUGUGCCUUGA